UACGGAGGGUGCAAGCGUUGUCCGGAAUCACUGGGCGUAAAGGGCGCGUAGGCGGCUCAUGAAGGCUGUGGUGAAAGUCCGGGGCUCAACCUCGGAUCGGCCGUGGCGACUCGUGGGCUGGAGCACUGUAGAGGCGGGUGGAAUUCCGGUGUAGCGGUGGAAUGCGUAGAGAUCCGGAAGAACACCAGUGGCGAAGGCGGCCCGCUGGGCAGUGCUGACGCUGAGGCGCGACAGCGUGGGGAGCAAACAGG
rnacentral:rRNA from 1 species